GGUGGUUCAGUGGUAGAAUUCUCGCCUUCCAUGUGGGAGACCUGGGUUUGAUUCCUGGCC
rnacentral:tRNA from 1 species